rnacentral:rRNA from 1 species
AGGGUUUGAUUAUGGCUCAGGAUGAACGCUGGCGGCGUGCUUAACACAUGCAAGUCGAACGAACCUUCGGGUUAGUGGCGGACGGGUGAGUAACGCGUGAGAAUCCGCCCUCAGGAGGGGGAUAACGGUUGGAAACGACCGCUAAUACCCCAUAUGCCUAUUGGUGAAACGAAUUUCGCCUGAGGAUGAGCUCGCGUCUGAUUAGCUUGUUGGCGAGGUAAUGGCUCACCAAGGCUUCGAUCAGUAGCUGGUCUGAGAGGAUGAUCAGCCACACUGGGACUGAGACACGGCCCAGACUCCUACGGGAGGCAGCAGUGGGGAAUUUUCCGCAAUGGGCGAAAGCCUGACGGAGCAACGCCGCGUGAGGGACGAAGGCCUCUGGGCUGUAAACCUCUUUUCUCGAGGAAGAAGAUAUGACGGUACUUGAGGAAUAAGCCACGGCUAAUUCCGUGCCAGCCGCCGCGGUAAUAC